UCCAUCUUUCUGUCGAAAGCGUGUAACACCCCCGGGCCCACUGGCGAGCUUGGUUUGCGUGGCUAAUCACAUCAGACGUGAAAAAACACCUUUCCUCCCACCUCAGCUCCCUCUGCGGCCUCAUAACCUGGGAAGUGCCAAAAGCAGAAUGCACCGAUGAUAAUGCCCUCAGCCAGCCAACGGGAUGACUUGAGCUCUUCAAACGAUACAGGUCACUGUAAUUAUCCGGCUAUUAUACGACUCCAACUUUCAGGCAAAGUGGUCUUGCUCUCAACACCCACUAUUAUAUAUGUACUAAAAUCCACAUCAAAAUCAAUUAAAUAAUGAAUGCAUUAAAAGGA